rnacentral:rRNA from 1 species
GUCUAUAGCCAUGCCACCCUGAAUAAGCCCGAUGUCUGAUCUCAGAAGCUAAGCAGGGUUGGACCUGGUUAGUACUUGGAUGGGAGACCACCUAGGAAGACCAGGUGCUGUAAGCA